CACGUAGGGGACGAGCGUUGUUCGGAUUCAUUGGGCGUAAAGGGUGCGUAGGCGGCGCGGUAAGUCGGGUGUGAAAUUUCGAGGCUUAACUUCGAAACUGCAUUCGAUACUGCCGUGCUAGAGGACUGGAGAGGAGACUGGAAUUUACGGUGUAGCGGUGAAAUGCGUAGAUAUCGUAAGGAAGACCAGUGGCGAAGGCGGGUCUCUGGACAGUUCCUGACGCUGAGGCACGAAGGCCAGGGGAGCAAACGGGG
rnacentral:rRNA from 1 species